UCUUGUAGUAAUUGAAUAGUUUUCGUAAAGUGUCGUAAAUAAAUAAUGGCAACUCCACGUAAAUCUGUUUACAUACCGCGGUUCGGCUCACAGUCGUCCCAAUCCCAAACCGACAACAAAGUAACUCCUAGCGGGAGAAUCUGCAGAUUAAGCAAGAGUAUGAAAAGGGUGACUUGUGUGUCGAGUUCCCUAACCGUGUCAAACGUCAAAAGUCCUGAAAUAACGCCAUGUUGUUCAAAAAUAGCGAAAACAAACUACCUUUUGAGGUUUUAUUGGUCAUCCAAGGCGAACAGAAAGCCCGUCGAGAAAUCAACAGAUACUCCGAUGACAUCUACCGGCGAGAAAUCACAGCGCGUUAAAGACACUGGUCAUAGUAAAGAAGAGUCCUCGUCUGAUUAUUUUGAAUUUCCACAUGAAAAUGCUCAAGCAACAGAUGAAAAGUCCCGAAUCAAACAGGAAGUGUUGAAGACAAUAGGGAGAAUGAUAAAGGAGAACAGGGUCAUCAGACAGAGAUUACUCGCCUUGAGUAAGAUGAGCCAAAGCAA